rnacentral:lncRNA from 1 species
GGACACUUGUAUCAGCUUUCACGGUGCUGUGUGGAGCCCGGACCGACCUCCCUGACAGGCACAUGUGCUGUGUCUUCUGGCUGAACAUUGCCGCUGCACUGAUUCAGAUCCUGACAGCAAUCGUGAUGGUUGGCUGGAUUAUGAGUAUAUUUUGGGGGAUGGACAUGGUCAUUCUUGCAAGGUCUUCACGUAGUCAUCUCUGCUGAUGACAUCUCUGUGGGAGGAGGAUCUCAGGAAACUGCCAGGCACCAGCAAAACAAUUAAAUGGAUGAAACUGAAAAGAACAGCAGGAAAACAGAGCACAUUUUCAGAUGCCAAACCCACCGGUUAAACCCAUCCACCAAACCACCUGCUACUUUCUGAGCCAGCUUCAAUUUACAGGCUGAGUUCAGGGAGAUCCACAUACACAGUAAGAUGAUGUGAACAUGAGUGAAACAAAAGGCUUUCCUCAAGACAAAGACAGCACUACACUUUGUUUUCCCCUGCAAACCAGCAGAAGUUUCAUCUCAGAUGUACCUGCAUGUUUGGUAGCCUGAUGAGGAUAACAUCGGAGCGGAGGUGCAGAGCGGCAGCAGGAGACUUGCACUGAGCGAGGAGCAGAGAUGGGGCAGAGGCAGCGUGCGGUGGGCCCAGCCCCAGCCCGUGUGCGGCGGGUGGUCGAGGAGGAGGAAAAGCAGGGUGCCGAGAGGAGGAAAGCCCCCAGUGAAGGUGGCACCCGGGCAGGCAGCAGAGCUGGGGGAGCGGGAGGUGUUGGUCUCUCUGUCCUCCCAGCAGCAAGCGGUCAAAGACAUUCUGCCUCCUGUUAGACGUUUUUUGCCUCCUGUUACAGUUAAAGAAAACCAGCUGUGAACAUCAAAUGCCAAGGAGCUAUCAAUAGACAGACGUACAGCCUGUAGAAGCAACAAGCGGUCCCUUUUUCCCUUCUGAGAGCCCCUUCUUGACUGCUUGGUGGCAGCAGAGGGCUCAGCCCAGCUUCCUCAGCUGUGUACCUUCGAUGCUCUAUCAUUGCAGAUGUCUUGAGAAAUGUGCUUGCUGUAAAUCGCGUUUUACUCUUAAACUGACUUGGGCUGUCCUCUACAUCGAUCCUCUGGCUCCAGGCAAGCACCAGACCUCCCUACUGGCCCCGGGAGGCUCCUACCAGCGGGAGACGGGGAUCCCCUGCACCCCUGUGUGCUGCUGGUGGGGCAGUGGGACAAGCCCCGUGCUGCCAAAAACCUCCAGUGUAAAGACUUCUCCCCUUCCCCUGGGAGGAACCUGCUGUCCUUGGUUUGGCCGUGGAUCCCUGUGCAGCGUGUCCUGCAGGAUCGGUCGAUGGAGCAUCUCCAGCUCUGCUCCCCAGGGUCGAUCAAGCAACCAAUGUACAACUCCAGAGGUGCUGAGGUCUGCCAGAUGGACACCAAGGCCAAAGGGUCCAAUUUCUGCCUGUGAGAGGGAUCAACUUUAAUAAACAGCCAGAUUUCCACUCCCUACUUCAGGACAGGAGCAGCUUUACAGAUUUGCCACUCUCCCAGCUACCUUAGAGGGAGCACUGGACUGAAUUUUCAACCAACUGCUGCAAAAGCAAUGAGGAACGCUGCUUUUUCCAGUAGCCCUUCCCUGGAGAGACAUUUCUGUGACACCACUGGAUGGACGGAGGAUGUUUUUUCCCUGCUCCUGAGAGACUAGACCUCUGUCCAGGGAUGGAUCGAGCAGAGCCCAGACCCCGACACUGCUCCCAAGGAGCCCACAGCAGGGGAAGCCAGCAGCCAGAAGCAGGGGGCCACAAUUUUCACUGGUGAGAAGACCAAUGCCAUGAAAGCCCA